GACGAACGCUGGCGGCGUGCUUAACACAUGCAAGUCGAACGGAAAGGCCCUGCUUUUGUGGGGUGCUCGAGUGGCGAACGGGUGAGUAACACGUGAGUAACCUGCCCUUGACUUUGGGAUAACUUCAGGAAACUGGGGCUAAUACCGGAUAGGAGCUCCUGCUGCAUGGUGGGGGUUGGAAAGUUUCGGCGGUUGGGGAUGGACUCGCGGCUUAUCAGCUUGUUGGUGGGGUAGUGGCUUACCAAGGCUUUGACGGGUAGCCGGCCUGAGAGGGGGACCGGCCACAUUGGGACUGAGAUACGGCCCAGACUCCUACGGGAGGCAGCAGUGGGGAAUAUUGCACAAUGGGCGGAAGCCUGAUGCAGCAACGCCGCGUGCGGGAUGACGGCCUUCGGGUGGUAAACCGCUUUCGCCUGUGACGAAGCGUGAGUGACGGUAAUGGGUAAAGAAGCACCGGCUAACUACGUG
rnacentral:rRNA from 1 species